rnacentral:rRNA from 1 species
AUGCCAAAUAAGCAGAAGAAGACAAAGAUUACUAGAUGUGGUUGCGAAGCUAUGAUAACUGUCAAGCUUAUGCAAGGUGGCAUAUACUCAAUAGUAUAUUUUCAUGAAGAACACACACAUGAAUUUGUCACACCUAGCAAAUAGCAUUUAAUCAAGUCAAAUAGACAAGUUAGUCAGAGGGCCAAGACCACUCUGUUCACAUGCCAUGCAGCUAGCAUUGGCACAUCUGGUGCCUUCCGAUUGCUUCGUAUUGGCGAGGGCGGAUUUGAGUUUGUGGGUUGCACAAAAAGAGACUUGCAGAAUUAUCAUCGUAAUUUGAGAAGUUCAAUCAAGGAUUCAGAUGCUCAGAUGUUCAUUGAUAAUCUCAAGAAAGGGAAGCAAAUCAACCUAGUGUUUUAUUUUAAUUACAUUCUUGAUGACAAAAAUCGUCUAACUCAUGUGUUCUGGGCAGAUGCUACUUGUAGAAAGAACUAUGCUAUAGCAGGAGACGUGGUGUCUUUUGACUCUACAUGUAGCACCAACCAGGAUAAUAUGAUAUUUUGCCCUUUCACAGGGAUAAACCACCAUAGGGGGUCUGUGUUCUAUGGUGCUGCCUUGAUUGUCAAUGAGAAGAUACCAUCAUACAAAUGGGUGUUCCAAACGUUCUUGAAAGCAAUGGAUGGAGUAGCACCCAGACUUAUAGUAACUGAUGAAGAUGCUAGCAUGAAGGCCGCCAUCGAAGAGGUUUUGCCGACAACCAUCCAUAGGUUAUGCAUGUGGCACAUAAUGAAAAAGCUUCCAGAAAAGGUCAGUCCUUCUUUGAGAGAAGAUGAAGAUUUCUAUAAGGUUGUGAAUGCGUGUGUAUGGGGCUCUGAAAAUCCAACUGAAUUUGAGACAAAUUGGUCUUCUAUGAUUUCUAAAUUUGCUUUAGAGAACAAUGAGUGGUUUUCUCAUAGAUAUGAAAUCCAUGAGUCAUGGAUACCGGCGUACUUCAGGGGUGUAUUCAUGGCUGAGAUUUUGAGAACCAGUUCACGAUCAGAGAGUGCUAACUCAUUUUUCAACCAUUUUAUUGGUUACAAGCAUGCUUUGGUGGAGUUUUGGAUUAGGAUUGGUACAACCAUAGAAGAGCAACGUCAGAAUGAACUUAAGGCUGACCAUGAAUGUUUUGAUUCGAUGCCUGAAUUGGUAACAUCAUGGGGCAUUGAGAAGCAUGCAAGUCUAUACUUCACCCAUGAAGUCUUCCGAGCUUUUCAAAAGGAGGUACUUGCAGCUAGAGAUCAUUGCUUGAUUGAAAGCAUCUCACAGGAUGGUGAUGUCAAAACCAUGGUUAUAGGUGGUAAUUAUGGCAAGGCUAGAGAAGUACAAUUCAACACAUCAUCCACGAGUGCUCACUGCUCCUGCAUGUUGUUUGAGACACGUGGAAUUCCAUGUCGACAUAUCAUCUUGGUUUUGAGAGGUGCCAAGCUCAAUGAGCUCCCUAUCCAUUUUAUUUUGGAUAGGUGGAAAAAAGUGAACAGGAAGGCUUUAUAUGAUAGCAGUGGCAACUUGCUUGAGGAGAACGCGAAGUUGAUGUCAAUCAUCCUAACAGGCAGGAAGAAUUUGAGGCACAUAUUGGUUGUAGUAUGCCUACUCAAAUUGACAUUCAUCCACCAACUGACGUUCGUAUGAAGGGGAGAUGCAAAAGAAUUAGGGGUCACUCAGAUAAGGGGCACAACAAAAUAA